rnacentral:siRNA from 1 species
CACAAGCUAUCAGAAUCGGUGU